rnacentral:rRNA from 1 species
UACGAACUGUGCAAACGUUAUUCGGAAUUACUGGGCGUAAAGCGUGCGCAGGCGGUUGUGGAAGACAGAUGUGAAAUCCCCGGGCUCAACCUGGGAAUUGCAUUUGUGACUGCACGGCUAGAGUGUGUCAGAGGGGGGUAGAAUUCCACGUGUAGCAGUGAAAUGCGUAGAGAUGUGGAGGAAUACCGAUGGCGAAGGCAGCCCCCUGGGAUAACACUGACGCUCAUGCACGAAAGCGUGGGGAGCAAACAGG